AAAAGACUUAUAUAAACAUAAGUUGGAAAGAAGUAGAAGGAAAAUUAAACUAAUGCCAACAGUUCAGUUUUGGUCAA
rnacentral:lncRNA from 1 species